ACGGGGUGCAGCAGGCGCGAAACCUUUGCAAUGUGCGAAAGCACGACAAGGUUAAUCCGAGUGUCUCCUGCUAAAGGAGUCUUUUGUCAGUUGUAGAAUCACUGAUGAAUAAGGGGUGGGCAAGUUCUGGUGUCAGCCGCCGCGGUAAAACCAGCACCUCGAGUGGUCAGGAGGUUUAUUGGGCCUAAAGCAUCCGUAGCCGGUUGCAUAAGUUUUCGGUUAAAUCUAUGCGCUCAACGUAUAGGCCGCCGAAAAUACUGUGCGGCUAGGGAGUGGGAGAGGUACACGGUACUCAAUAGGAAGGGGUAAAAUCCUUUGAUCUAUUGAUGACCACCUGUGGCGAAGGCGGUGUACCAGAACACGUUCGACGGUGAGGGAUGAAAGCUGGGGGAGCAAACCGGAUUAGAUACCCGGGUAGUCCCAGCUGUAAACGAUGCAGACUCGGUGAUGCAUUGGCUUGUGGCCAAUGCAGUGCCGCAGGGAAGCCGUUAAGUCUGCCGCCUGGGAAGUACGUACGCAAGUAUGAAACUUAAAGGAAUUGGCGGGGGAGCCC
rnacentral:rRNA from 2 species